UGGGGAAUAUUGCACAAUGGGCGGAAGCCUGAUGCAGCAACGCCGCGUGAGUGAUGAAGGCCUUCGGGUUGUAAAGCUCUGUCUUUUGGGACGAUAAUGACGGUACCAAAGGAGGAAGCCACGGCUAACUACGUGCCAGCAGCCGCGGUAAUACGUAGGUGGCAAGCGUUGUCCGGAUUUUACUGGGCGUAAAGGAUGCGUAGGCGGAUUUUUCAAGUGAGAUGUGAAAUACCCGGGCUUAACUUGGGUGCUGCAUUUCAAACUGGGAAUCUAGAGUGCGGGAGAGGAGAAUGGAAUUCCUAGUGUAGCGGUGAAAUGCGUAGAGAUUAGGAAGAACACCAGUGGCGAAGGCGAUUCUCUGGACCGUAACUGACGCUGAGGCAUGAAAUGCG
rnacentral:rRNA from 1 species